rnacentral:rRNA from 1 species
UACGUAGGGGGCAAGCGUUGUCCGGAUUUAUUGGGCGUAAAGAGCGUGUAGGCGGCCACACAGGUCAGCUGUGAAAACUCGAGGCUCAACCUCGAGACGUCGGUUGAAACCGUAUGGCUAGAGUCCGGAAGAGGAGAGUGGAAUUCCCGGUGUAGCGGUGGAAUGCGCAGAUAUCGGGAAGAACACCCGUGGCGAAGGCGGCUCUCUGGGACGGUACUGACGCUGAGACGCGAAAGCGUGGGGAGCGAACAGG